rnacentral:sRNA from 1 species
UUGCUUUGCAAAUGAUAAUGAUUACUAUUGCAUGCAGCUGGUCGCGAGAUCAGUCGAUAAUUCAAGGGACCUUAGGUCGGUCUUUUGAAUUAGCUCCUCAUCAGGCUAAUCACGGUUAUUUGACCCGGCUUAUGGCCGGGUCUUUUUUUU